ensembl:misc_RNA Metazoa_SRP Metazoan signal recognition particle RNA
GCUGGGCAUGGUGGCGCAUGCCUGUAAUCUUAGCUACUUGGGAGGCUGAGGCAGGAGAAUUUCUUGCACCUAGGAGGUGGAGGUUGCAGUGAGCUGAGAUCAUGUCACUGCAUUCUAGCCUGGGUGACAGAGCGAGACUCCGUCUCAA